AUCCAGCUGACGAGUCCCAAGUACGAGGAAGCACGCGUCUUGGAU
rfam:Schistosoma rodhaini strain Burundi genome assembly, scaffold: SROB_scaffold0004854